rnacentral:rRNA from 1 species
GACGAGCGCUGGCGGCGUGCUUAACACAUGCAAGUCGAACGGAAAGGCCCUGCUUUUGUGGGGUGCUCGAGUGGCGAACGGGUGAGUAACACGUGAGUAACCUGCCCUUGACUUUGGGAUAACUUCAGGAAACUGGGGCUAAUACCGGAUAGGAGCUCCUGCUGCAUGGUGGGGGUUGGAAAGUUUCGGCGGUUGGGGAUGGACUCGCGGCUUAUCAGCUUGUUGGUGGGGUAGUGGCUUACCAAGGCUUUGACGGGUAGCCGGCCUGAGAGGGUGACCGACCACAUUGGGACUGAGAUACGGCCCAGACUCCUACGGGAGGCAGCAGUGGGGAAUAUUGCACAAUGGGCGGAAGCCUGAUGCAGCAACGCCGCGUGCGGGAUGACGGCCUUCGGGUUGUAAACCGCUUUCGCCUGUGACGAAGCGUGAGUGACGGUAAUGGUAAAGAAGCACCGGCUAACUACGUG